rnacentral:rRNA from 1 species
UACGUAGGGAGCAAGCGUUGUCCGGAUUCACUGGGUGUAAAGGGUGCGUAGGCGGGAGAAUAAGUCAGCGGUGAAAUCUUACGGCUCAACCGUGAAACUGCCGUUGAUACUGUUUUUCUUGAGUUCGGGAGAGGUUGAUGGAAUUCCAGGUGUAGCGGUGAAAUGCGUAGAUAUCUGGAAGAACACCAGUGGCGAAGGCGGUCAACUGGCCCGAAACUGACGCUGAGGCACGAAAGCGUGGGUAGCGAACAGG